rnacentral:rRNA from 1 species
AUUGAACGCUGGCGGCAGGCCUAACACAUGCAAGUCGAAUGGUAACAGGAAACAGCUUGCUGUUUCGCUGACGAGUGGCGGACGGGUGAGUAAUGUCUGGGAAACUGCCUGAUGGAGGGGGAUAACUACUGGAAACGGUAGCUAAUACCGCAUAACGUCGCAAGACUAAAGAGGGGGACCUUCGGGCCUCUUGCCAUCAGAUGUGCCCAGAUGGGAUUAGCUAGUAGGUGGGGUAACGGCUCACCUAGGCGACGAUCGCUAGCUGGUCUCAGAGGAUGACAAGCGACACUGGAGCUGGGACACGGUCCAGACUCCUACGGGAGGCAGCAGUGGGGAAUAUUGCACAAUGGGCGCAAGCCUGAUGCAGCCAUGCCGCGUGUAUGAAGGAGGCGUUCGGGUUGUAAAGUACUUUCAGCGGGGAGGAAGGGAGUAAAGUUAAUACCUUGGCUCAUUGACGUUACCCGCAGAAGAAGCACCGGCUAACUCCGUG